GAUAAGAACGUAGCGAAAUGCGAUAAGUAAUGUGAAUUGCAGAAUUCAGUGAAUCAUCGAAUCUUUGAACGCACAUUGCGCCCGCCAGUAUUCUGGCGGGCAUGCCUGUUCGAGCGUCAUUUCAACCAUCAAGCCCCCGGCUUGUGUUGGGGACCUGCGGCUGCCGCAGGCCCUGAAAACCAGUGGCGGGCUCGCUAGUCACUCCGAGCGUAGUAAUACAUCUCGCUCAGGGCGUGCUGCGGGUUCCGGCCGUUAAAAAGCCUUAUUUACCCAAGGUUGACCUCGGAUCAGGUAGGAAGACCCGCUGAACUUAAGCAUAUCAAUAAGCGGAGGA
rnacentral:misc_RNA from 1 species